GUGCUCACUUCAGCAGCACAUAUACUAAAACUGGAACGAUACAGAGAAGAUUAGCAUGGCCCCUGUGUAAGGAUGAUACACAAAUUCGUGAAGCGUUCCAUAUUUUU
ensembl:snRNA U6 U6 spliceosomal RNA